ensembl:lncRNA
GCCCACCGCACGAGCAGGGGCGGCAGGAAUGCGCGCCGGCAGCCCGCGUUGAGGGUGAGGGGCGAGGAACUGGCCAAGGGCUCCCGGUGUCGAAAUCAGAGUCUGAGCCCCCAGCCCACAGCAUCCUCCGGAAGCGCGGCCAGGAGCGGCUCUCCGCUUGGCUGCGUCUCCUCUCCCUCCCUCCCCAGUCCCUCUCAUCCCCUCCUAAGGAGUCCCUAGGGGAGCACCUCGGCCACACUGGUCCCCCUCUUAGCGCUGGCUCUGCCCACUGGCCCAUUUUCUUCACAAAGCGCCCUUCGUGGUCCCUCUCCCUCUCCCUGAAUGUCAACUGCAGAGAUGAGGGCCUGGAACACAGUGAGCGCUCUAUAAUGAUGUAUUGUGUAGGGAAUUCCCUGGUGGUCCAGUGUCUAGGACACAGAGCUGCCAGUGCAGAGGGCCACAGGUUCCCUCCCAGGUCAGGGAACUAGAUCUCACUUGCUGCAACUAAGACCCAGUGCAACUAAAAAAAAAAAGAUUUAUUGUGUAGAUGUCUGGCCUGGUUCCCCGAUUCUCACCUGGCCCAUUUGUUCUUAGGGCCCUGGGGCCCUAUCCCCUGCCCCUCUGUGAUGGGGUGCGGUGGGGGAUGGAAGUUCCCAGGCCUUUUCCUGUAUCCACCCCCAAGGCAAUUAGCAGGCGCCACCCCAGGCAGGCAGAUGCCUGAGCAGAUGGUGCUGGCUGUGCCCAAGUGACAAGACUCCCAUGGAGUCACCUCCUGCCAUAAACUCCUCCCUAUCUACGACGGAAGCCUGCCUGGGAGCCUCUCUUCGCUGCAGAGGUGGGAGUGGGCAGGGGUCAGCCGAGACGCAGCACAGCUCUAGUCCUGCCUGAAGGGUCUCUGUGCCCACUUUCCCUCGCCCCACCACCACUGUUAUCCCAGGUCUGGGCCAGGUUGAGAUGGAGCCUCCCUCACAGCCUGUCUCUCUCUCCUGGACCUCCUGAGCCUCCUCCGCGCUGGUCUUCCUGCCAGCCUACCUGCUGUAUUGAUUCUCCACUCCGAAACCACACAGCUCUAAUUGUGCACGCAGGUCCAAACCUUUGAUGGUUCCCCAUGGCCUCUGGGGGGGUUCGUGCUAGUGGUAAAGAAGUCACCUGCCAAUUCAGGAGACGUAAGAGAUGCAGGUUCGAUCCCAGGAUCGGGAAAAUCCCCUGGAGGAGGAAAUGACCACCCACUCUAGUAUUCUUUCCUGGGAAAUCCCAUGGACAGAGGAGCCUGGCAGGCUGCGGUCCAUAGGGUCACAGAGAGUCGGGACACAGCUGAAGCGACUUAGCACCCACGCAUGCAUGGCCUCUUUGCAGUUCAAGUCCUGGCCAGUGUCCACCUCUCUCCCAACUAGGUCCCGGCCCCAUUUUGUGCCUCUGCUGCGAUGCCUCCCAGUUCUCUAACAGCCCCAAACCGUCAAGCCCCAAAGUCUGCAUGAGCUGUGCGGGGCCCCUGGGUCCUUCAUCGGCGUCCGUACUAAGUGGCACCACCACGUGCUGAGGGUCCUGCAAGGGGGAGGGACAGCCGUGCCACCCAUUCUCCUGCCUGACCCUGCCAGGGUCCUCCGUGGCCCCACCCCAGGGGUGGGACCCCAUGCUCUGCACCCGGAGCACCUCUGCUUUCUCCCACCCAUGCUCCUGGCCUCAUGCUCCAUAGUCCUGGCUGCUGUGGUUCGGCCCACCAGGCAGCAGGAGUGACGUGCCCAUUGUACAGAAAGCAAGUGGAGGCUCAAGAAGCCUUGCUGCGUUGUGCUUGGGGAGCAGGAGGAGGAGCAACUGGACAGGGGGGCAGUGGCCAGCCUGGCAGGGCCGUGGCGUAGAGGUCGGCAGGGGCUUUUCCGCAUCUCUCUGCAGCCAGGCUUGGUGGGAGUGGGGGGACCUGGGUGUGACUGCCUGUCUGGGAACAGCAGGACAAAGCUCUGCAGCAUUCUUGUGGGGGCCAUGGGCUUUGGCAAGAGUGAUUCAAUAUCUUUGCUGUCAGGAGAAUGGAAUUUCGUGGUGACUCCUUGAGGUCUGAAAACUGGAGGGGGUGGCCGCCCUAGCUGCCCCUGCCCCCUUCCCCAGGCUGGCUCCAGCCAGAGGCUCUCCCCUCCCCUGCCCUCAACCUAGACCCAAAGGCUCCCUCCAGGGACCCAUUGGGCCAAACAGCUCUGAGGGGGUGUGGGGGGUGAUAGGAGGAGGUGCUGGGCCCAGGACAGGAAAUGGGGAGCCAGGGAGGGGGUGGGGAGGGCUGACCUGCUUGCCAGGAAGCCCCUGGGCGCCUUAGGGCCCUUGGGAAUGGGGAGGGGAAGCAGCUGUCCCAAGACCCUCCCCAGGGGGGAGGGCUUUCCAACCCCAGAGGGGCCACUUCUCAGCUUUUUGACCUUGGACCUGGGACAUUCCUCCUCUGAGCCUCGGUUUCCCCACCCGUAACACGAGGAUGACAGAUGGGCAGUGGGUCAGAACGCUGGGGGCCUGGCCCUCUUGCCCAGGGACCUAGGCCUGGUGCCUCCUGCACGGCUGACCCCUGCUCCAGCCAGCGCGGGGCUCCUGGGCAGCUGGGAGGCCGGAUGGCUCGACCCCUGUUCGUGAGGCUGGGUGGAGAGGUGGCCGAGGACAGGGGACCUGCAUGAGCAGUCUUACUCUGCCUCUCCAUCAGGCUCGGAGGAUGUGCUGUCUACCCAUCCGAGCUCAGGCCCCCUUUCCCGGCCCGGGGCUCAGCCUGGGGCCCCCUGCAAAUGGAGUCAGUCCCAGAGGGCUCUAGCCGCCCCUUCCCCGUGGACCCUGGAGCCUUGGGCUGGCCUCCCUGAGUGGCUCUUUCCUGGGAAGAUCCCGGAGACAUAAUGGGUGAGCCAUUAACUGGGAGGAAGUCAUCCAUGGCAGUCCUGCUCGCGUCCCAAGGACAACCCAGAGAGGGAGGGAGGUGCUGACCAUCGCCGUGCUCCGGGGGGCUCACGCACCCACUCUGACACCGACACGCGAGGGCAGGUCCUCAAGGGGGACCUCGAGGAGUGGCAGCGUGGGCACCCAGGUGCCAGGGUGCCCACGGGCCUCCUGAGAGCAGCGAGUGGCGUGGCCACAGUGGCCCCAGGAGGCCCCCGCCCAGAAGCUUCUGGACAGAGUCCGUGCUGGCAGGAGGCUCCAUGGCAGGAGUGUGGGGGCGCAGCCGACAGCUGCUUCCUGCUCCCACUGUUGGGGUGUCGCUGCCCCUGUGAGAAGAACAGAUAUAGACGAGCCCCCAGCCUGGCCCUGCCCGCUGGGACCCCUCACCCCCAGCCCCGCGCUGUGUGAUCUCGGGCCGGUUCCCUUCUCUCUGUGGGCCUCGGGGUUUUACUCGAGGCUGCUUCGGGGAUGUAGCUGGUGCCCGCCCUCCCCCACUGCUCCCACCCCAUCCCACGAACCCUGGGCUGGCGAGGGGCUGGUACUUGCAGGUGUAAAGUGGCAGUGCCUGCCGGCCGCCUGCCUCCUCGACCUGAACCCUGGGGCCUGGCAUGGUCAGGGCAGCCCAGCUGACUUGGCCUGGGUGGCUGAACAAGACCCCGAGAAGAAUGGAUGGACGGAUGGACACAUGUGGACACAGGGACGUCCAGAGGAAGGAGAGCCUGCCUUCCUCCCCAGCGCCCACCCCCACUCAGGGGGACGUGGCUCUCAGGGUAAGGAGGUCGGGCAGGGCUGCCCACUGAACACUGAGCCGGCCCUGGGGGCGGGGCCUCCGGGCAGGUGGACGCCCGCGAUGGCCCCGGGCUGUAUGGCUGCCCUGCUCUCCCCAGUGAGCUGCCCAGGGGAGGCCUGGAAGGUCCCACUCAGAACGUUGGUCUUACAGGUGGGACACAGGGUCCAGGGAGGGGAAAGGGCUGCCCUCACCCCCACAGGGAGCUCAGGCCGUCCCCAACUUGGGAGCAGGCCCAGAGCCCGCAGCUGCGCUUCUUCCUGACAGCCACGCCGGGACUGGCCGGGGCUAAUCUGAUUUGCAGCCCCCAGUGGUGGCAGAACCCCACUGCCAGUCUCCGCUGCUGACGUCCUGCAGGGGCCAGACGCCCACCAGGGAGACACCAGAGCCGCUCUGCCCCGGCCGGCCUUUGUCUUGCCAAGAAUGGCUGGCUUGUGCUGGGCAGGGGUGGGCUGUGGCUGUGCUGCUGCCUGCCGGGCUCCAGGCAUGAUCCCCUGCCCCGGUCCUGACCCUGUGCUCUGCAGUGGGACCAGACCCCAGGACGGGCGAGCAGGGGCAGGGGCCGCAUGGAGGUAGCUGGGGUCUGUCUUGGCUCCAAGCGAACCUGCCUCCUUCCCUGUGUGGUCCUGAGCUUGUCUCCGUCUCCCUGACCUCAGGGCCUCCUCCGUCGGUAACCAGAGGGUGUUAUCUUCCAUCCUGCUCUCUGGAGUCGGGACGGGUUGGGGGGAGAUGGCAUCCUUCGAUAUUCCAGGCUGCCUGGAAGAGGGGUGGUUCCGUGCCCAGGAGUGGCGGCCACACCCACAGGGGGAUGAGCCGCCACCACAGAACCCAUCUGUCCACAUGUCCGUCCGGCCGGCCGGCUGGCUGUCCAUUCACCCCCAGCAACGCCCCCGGGUCCUUGCUCUGUUCAGAUCUCUGGCUCCAGGGCAGGGAGGAGGUGACCCAGACACCGCCCCUGGGCCCGGGGAGCUCACAGUCUCACGGGGAGGAGUCUGUCGGCAUCCAGGUGUUCCCCAGACAGACGGAGGGUGGCAGGGGCUAGAAGGUCUGUCAGGUGCAAGGGUGCCAGGGGCCUGGGCAAGGGAGAAUCCACCUCGUGCCCGGGCUGGGGUACGAGGCUUCAGGGGAGGCUUCCAGGGGAAGAUGGUGACCAUCACCCCCCGAAGCUUCCCAGGUGGCACUUGGGGUAAAGAGCCUGCCUGCCGAUGCCGGCGAUAUAAGAGACGCGGGUUCGAUCCCUGGGUCGGGAAGAGCCCCUGGAGAAGGGAACGGCUGCCCACUCCAGUACUCUUGCCUGGAGAAUUCCAUGGACAGAGGAGCCUGGAGGGUUACAGUCCAUGGGGUCACAGAGAGCCGGACACGACUGAGCCACUGGGCACACACUCUGCAGAUGACGUCUGGGCAGGCAGAGGCUGACGGGAAGGAGCAAGGAGGGGGCCGGCCGGGGAGAUGGAGAGAGCGUGCAGUUAGGUGGGGCGUGGGGAGAGGAGCGGUGGAAGACGGGCCAGCAGUGGUGAGCUGGAGCCUCGGGCCCAGGCCAGGCGGCCCUGGGGGGCCACAGGGUUGGUGAGCAAGAGGGCCGUGGGCCCAGGUGGCUUUGCCAAAGGAGGGGAAGCAACUGCGGUUCAGCCAAGACACAGGAGGCAAGGCUGUGCCCGCCACUUGUCCGUCCGUCCCUUGGGCCUCGUGUCCUUGUGGUUGGAGAAGGAGGAAGCUGGGAGGGCGCGGGGGCCACCUGGGCCCUUGUGUGCCCUCCUCCCUUCCUUGGUGGCUGCGGAGGGUUUUUGGAAGAGGACAGGGCCAUGUUGCUUGGAGGUGGGUGGACCCUGGUGGGAAGGGAUGGAGGGGACGGGACAGAGCCUGGGCGAGGCCAGCGUCGGAGGGAAGCCUAGGCCUCUGACCUCCGCCUGCCCUCUGCAGCCCCGGUUCCGCUGUCUGCACAGUCUGCAGGGCCUCCCCGACCCCGGUCCUCGAUCAAGGGCCAUCUCAGCCCCCUGCAGACGUUCUCGGUUGUCACGCCUCUGGGGCCUGGCGGUACAAGUGGAUCUAGUCGGUGGAAGCCAGGGGUGUUGCUCGGUGCCCUGCUGCAUAUGAGACGGGCCCCAAACAACAGAAAACUCCCCACCCACAACACCAGGAGGCUGAGGGGAAAUCACCAGUGAAAUGACAGGAGGUCACCUGAGGGCAGAGGAUGCUGCAGGCAGGGCGGCCGGCGAAGGGGAAGGCGGAAGGAUUACACAGGGGACUUCCGCUGGAGGCCGCAGCGGGGGAAGGCUCCUAUUGACAGAAGCAGCAGACGGAACUGCCGAUGCGCCUGCCAGCCUCAUUUUGCAAAUGAGGAAGCUGAGGCUCAGAGAGGGAAGUGAGCUGACCUGCGUCACACAGCGGCAGGCGGCAGGCAAGGGGGGCUUCUGCCCCAGUGCCCCCCACCCCGGUUCCAGAACACACUUGGGUGCGGCGCCGUCCACCACCACCGUCUGACGAGCAGGACCCUGCAGGGCCC